GAUGAACGCUGGCGGCGUGCCUAAUACAUGCAAGUCGAGCGAACAGACGAGGAGCUUGCUCCUCUGACGUUAGCGGCGGACGGGUGAGUAACACGUGGAUAACCUACCUAUAAGACUGGGAUAACUUCGGGAAACCGGAGCUAAUACCGGAUAAUAUAUUGAACCGCAUGGUUCAAUAGUGAAAGACGGUUUUGCUGUCACUUAUAGAUGGAUCCGCGCCGCAUUAGCUAGUUGGUAAGGUAACGGCUUACCGAGGCAACGAUGCGUAGCCGACCUGAGAGGGUGAUCGGCCACACUGGAACUGAGACACGGUCCAGACUCCUACGGGAGGCAGCAGUAGGGAAUCUUCCGCAAUGGGCGAAAGCCUGACGGAGCAACGCCGCGUGAGUGAUGAAGGUCUUCGGAUCGUAAAACUCUGUUAUUAGGGAAGAACAAAUGUGUAAGUAACUAUACACGUCUUGACGGUAACUAAUCAGAAAGCCACGGCUAACUACGUG
rnacentral:rRNA from 1 species